ACACUCAAGUGUACAACUCUUAGCGGUGGAUCACUCGGCUCGUGAGUCGAUGAAGAACGCAGCCAGCUGCGAGAACUAAUGUGAAUUG
rnacentral:rRNA from 1 species